AAUCAGAACUAGGUCAUGAGAAGUAAUUACUUUGCUUUUUCCAUUGCUGAUAGAUCUGGAGCUGGAAUCCAGCUGCCCUUACCAGAGGGAGUCAGGACAGGAGAAGGGUUGGAGGUUUCCAGAGGAGAGUUUUGGUGUGAGUUCAACCUGUCUGGGGCACAGCUCCCAGCUGGAAGAAACCCAGCAUGAAGACCACAAGCAGUGCACGCAGCAGGGACCUGGGGGAGGAGCUGGGCAGCCGAGUAAGCCUAAGAGAAUGAGGGUCUGGCAGGAAUCACCGCAGUGCUGGUCCCAGGAUUUGUGGAGCCCCAGUUCCAGCAAGUGCAGGGGAUGCCUCCGCAGCUGGCAGGGUGUAGGACAAGCCAGGACCAUCACAAAGGAAUCACAUCUUCCUAAAUCUGAAGGAUGAUUUCCCAGGCCAGCAAUGCUCACCAGUCAUGCUGGGCUGCUGCCACAAUGGUUUGAAGGGAUUCAGCCUCUGAGUUUUAUCCUGGAUAUGCCCAUAAGGAUUCUCCAGCAAGAAAAUGGUGAAGCCUCCUAUCUACUGCUGGUACUUGCAGCUCUUCUACUAAUUUGGGUAGAAGGGUGAGCCCACUUAGAGCUGUAAUCCCUGCGAGGCCUUUCUGCAAAAGGGUUGAAGGAGUUGAGAUCUUUCUGGAGAUGGACAUGGACAAAGAGCCACCAGUAACAGCUGCAUGCAUUUGCUUUCCUAAAAACACACCCUCCCAGAAAGAGCAACAAGAAACAGGAAUCAGGUCUGGUCCUUGAUUUGGUGAGUGCCCUCAAAUAAAUUACAUAAGAAAUCUCUGAUUAUAUAAAGUGCAUUGCACAAUGCAUUAUAUAAAGCUCAGGUCAUGGCUUAAUCAACCAGCACUCAGCUCUCUUACAUCAAGAAAAAGUAAUCUGAGGAGCAGCAAGGAAGGAGGAGGAAGAGGAGGAUGCUCUCCCUCUCUUAAGGAGGCGUCUGGCAUGCGCAUGGCACACAUGACCACUGAGCACACCUCCAUCCCUGAGCCAGCCCAAAAGGAGCAGCUUCCAGCCAAACUCCAGCUUUUGGCUCAAAGGCCACCUGUAGGGUACCUGAACAGAGCAGGAGAUUUAUACAUCCCUCAGAAAACAGACCCAUAAUCACAACCACCUCACCAUUAAUCUUGUCUGGCUCUAAUGGGUUUGCCCAGAGGCACAGGGUGUCCAUCAACCACUGUAAUGCACCUUGGAGUAGAGAAAUGAGAACCUCCUCAUGAAUGCAUUGUUUAAAAAGGCCUGGUUUUCUUUUCUGACACUUGUGGAUUUAAAAUCAGCGGGAAAUAGCCAAGGGAAAUGUUUCAAUGUUGACAGUGAUAGAGGAAGUUUUACAGCAGCAGAUGGAAAUCAAAACAAACUGGGAAUUCUGUGCUGAAUCUGGUGCCAGAGGUGCCCUAAGAUACAUAACUUAGGUCCCACUUCUCUGCCCUAAUAUACAGGUUUUUCUAUAAAUAAUAAUGUGAGUUUCAUAGUUUUUAAAGCCCAAGAAUGACAUUAAAUUAUUCACAGGAUUUCCACCA